CGCGGAGUAGAGCAGUGGUAGCUUGUCAGGCUCAUAACCUGAAGGUCGUAGGUUCGAAUCCUGCCUCCGCUACAA
rnacentral:tRNA from 2 species